rnacentral:lncRNA from 1 species
AGGUCCUGGAGGUGUGGCUGAGCUACCUGCAGCCAUGGUGGUAUGCAGCUGACAAGCAGGCUGCCAGCAGCAACUCCCAGCCCCAGUGUGUCUGAGAAAUGUCUCCUGAGCUGUCAUCCAUAACACUGCACAGUUAAGGCUGAGACCGGCUGGACCCUGCCUGCCCUGCAGCCACCAGGCACCAGGCACUGGGUGGAAGACCGCAGUUCGAGCAGCUGUUCCCGGAGCCGGAGCUCGUCAUCCCCCUACCGCCAGCACCGACUCUUCACAGCCUGCACAUUCGCCAGCAGCAUCCUGUCAUAGUGGCCACCAGUGGUCACUGAUGCCUCCUUCAAUGUGAAGAGUCACAUCUAUGGCCUGGAGGGCCAGGACUGCAAGUACACCCGAUGUUCGGGCCCGAGGCUUACACCCUGGUGAGUGGGUUGGCGGUGCCCCUUCACAGGACCCCUGGAGCCACAAGGCUGAGCAGAGGCAGGGAAGUGCUGUGUUCUGGCGGGAGGGAGGGAGGUUGGGCGGAGAGUUGACGCACAUCUCCUUUCCCCGUUUCAGUAAAGUCUGAUUUGUUUCUGAUAACGAAGGCAGUGUUGGGAAAUUUCACAUUUAGAAGAUCAUUCUUUAGUCUUUAAAAGUCCUCCAGCAGAAGCUGCUCCUCCCGUCACUCAGUGAUCUGGCUGUGCACCCAUCUUAGGGCCCCCAGCCAGCCUGCCUGGGUGGCAGUACAGGCGUAUCCUGCCGGUGACCUGCCCUCGCCUCCCUUGCAGGUCCUGCACCUUACUCAGCUCAUCACGCAGGCCAAGCACACGGCCAGGUCCAUCUCGGACCAGUGUGUGGAGACUCCAGCUGGCCACUCCUUCCUGUUGUGGCUGGGCUUUGGCCCCACAGACACCAACGGCUCCUAUUCAGCCAUGACCUGGGCGAGAUGGGGCAGGACAGCGUCCAGAAGAUGGACGAGUGCCUGGAGGAGGCCCUGGCGUACCUGCGCCAGAUAUUCCGAGAUGAGAAUGGAAAGAAGCAGCUCCGGACUGCAUCGCGGGUGAGGACAGACUCAUCCCCACGCCCCUGGGCCAGUACCAGGUGAG